rnacentral:rRNA from 1 species
AUUGAACGCUGGCGGCAGGCUUAACACAUGCAAGUCGAGCGAGCGGCGGACGGGUGAGUAAUGUCUGGGAAACUGCCUGAUGGCGGGGGUAAACUACUGGAAACGGUAGUAAAUACCGCAUAGCAUCAGCUGUUCCCAGAUGGGAUUAGCUAGUAGGUGGGGUAAUGGCUCACCUAGGCGACGAUCCCUAGCUGGUCUGAGAGGGUGACCAGCCACACUGGAACUGAGACACGGUCCAGACUCCUACGGGAGGCAGCAGUGGGGAAUAUUGCACAAUGGGCGCAAGCCUGAUGCAGCCAUGCCGCGUGUGUGAAGAAGGCCUUCGGGUUGUAAAGCACUGUCAGCGGGGAGGCGGUACCCGCAGAAGAAGCACCGGCUAACUCCGUGCCAGCAGCCGCGGUAAUUC